rnacentral:ncRNA from 1 species
CACAGCCUUGGUCUCAGGCUUACUAUUAUACAUGGUCAGAAUUACACAUGCCAGCAUCCACACCCCGGUGCCCACGCCCCUCCCUGCUCCACCCAGCCACGGGCUUGGUAUCAGGCACACCCCACGGGUAGCCCACGACACCCCGCCCACGCCACACCCCCACGGAACUCAGCAGUGAUCAACAUUAAGCAAUGAGUUAAAACUCGACUUAGCCAUGACCUAAACUUAGGCCGGCCAACUCCGUGCCAGCCGCCGCGGUUACACGGAAGGCUUAAUAUAAUAAUAAUCCGGCGUAAAGAGUGACCCAAAGACUCACCGACCAACAGGAAACUAAAACUGAAAUAAAGCUGUAAAACGCACAUAUAAACAAGUAAGCCCCAUCAAAUUUCCCACCCCCCCCGGCCGUCUUAUCUCACGAAAGCUACGACACAAACUAGGAUUAGAUACCCUACUAUGCCUAGCUAUAAACCAAAGCAUCUACAUAAACCAACUGCUCGCCAGAGGAUUACAAGCGAAAAGCUCAAAACUCAAAAGACUUGACGGUGUUCCAUACCGACCUAGAGGAGCCUGUCCUAUAAUCGACACCCCACGAUAAACCUCACCCCUAAUUGCAAAAUCACAGCCUAUAUACCGCCGUCGUCAGCCUGCCUAAUGAUAGUUAACUAGCAGACAAAAUAGAACAUCUCACUAAAACGUCAGGUCAAGGUGUAGCUCACAUAGGGGCAGAGAUGGGCUACAUUAUCUACAACACUAGAUUAUUCACCAAAAGCAACAUGAAAAUCAAGCUAAAAGGCGGAUUUAGCAGUAAACCGGACAAGAUAAGUCCUAUUGAAAAUUCGCUCUGGAACGCGUACACACCGCCCGUCACCCUCCUCAAAAACUACAUAAAACUAAAUAAAAUACAAACAACAUAACAGAUGAGGCAAGUCGUAACAUGGUAAGCGUACUGGAAAGUGCGCUUGGAAA